rfam:Homo sapiens chromosome 5, GRCh38 reference primary assembly.
GGGCAGACAGCAUGCAAAUGGAGGCAGCCUGUAGUCCUUACCUGGAAACUUCACGGGAAACCUCACCCAGCCUGGACAAGGACGGGAUUGACAGAUUGACAGCUCUUUCUCGAUUCUGUGGGUGGUGGUGCAUGGCCAUUCUUAGUUGGUGGAGUGAUUUGUCUGGUUAAUUCUGAUAAGGAACCAGACCCUGACAUGGUGACUGGUUACACGAUCCCUGAGCAGUCGGCAUCCCCCAACUUCUUAGAAGGACAAGUGGUGUUCAGUGACCCAAGAUUGGGCAAUAACAGGUCUGUGACGCUCAUAGAUAUCUGGGGCUGCACGUGCACUACACCAACUGGCUCAGUGUGUGCCUCCCCUACACCAGCAGGCGCUGGUAAACUCUUGAACCCUAUUCGUGAUGGGGAUUGGGGAUUGCAAUUAUUCCCCAUGACCGAGGAAUUCCUAGUAAGUGCAGGUCAUAAGCUUGCAUUGAUUAAAUCCCUGUUUGCC